GAAGGGAUGUAGCUCAGUGACAGAGCAUCUGCUUUGCAUGCAGGAGGUCUGCAGUUCAAUCCCUGGCAUCUUCA